rnacentral:tRNA from 1 species
GGGGUUCUAGCUCAUAUGGUAGAGCGUUCGCUUCGCAUGCGAGAGGUACAGGGUUCGAUUCCCUGGUGCUUUU